rnacentral:lncRNA from 1 species
CUGGAAUAUUUGAGGAUGGGGUGGCAAAAACUGCAAAAAGAUUUUUAACAGAAAGUCAGAGAUGUCAAAGAUUACUUUCCUUUUUAUUCAGGUAAACUGACAAACUAUCCUGUAAGGUCGUGUAAGGAUGUGGCCUCCACUCACCCACUCCCAGCCCAUUUUUGUGCCAGUCUUGCCAUGGUCUUCUGGGUAAUCCUGAAACUAGGACUCUCUUUCUCAAUCAGCCAACAAGAAGCCUAGUGAGAGCCACAGGAGGACAACUGCAGCAUCAGUCAAUCAGCAAGUGUGGGGGACUUUGGAGACAGAAUUUAGAAGAUCUCCUUUCUCUUCAUUACUUGUCUUCUGUGUACAAUGCUUUAUUACCUUCACAUAAGCAAAGGGCUUGGUGGAGAGCAGAGAGCAAAUAGAUAAUAUAAGAAUCUCACCUCCAAA